rnacentral:rRNA from 1 species
ACUCCUACGGGAGGCAGCAGUGGGGAAUAUUGGGCAAUGGGCGAAAGCCUGAUCCAGCCAUGCCGCGUGUGUGAAGAAGGUCUUCGGAUUGUAAAGCACUUUAAGUUGGGAGGAAGGGCAGUAAGUUAAUACCUUGCUGUUUUGACGUUACCAACAGAAUAAGCACCGGCUAACUUCGUGCCAGCAGCCGCGGUAAUACGAAGGGUGCAAGCGUUAAUCGGAAUUACUGGGCGUAAAGCGCGCGUAGGUGGUUCAGCAAGUUGGAUGUGAAACUCCCCCGGGCUCAACCUGGGAACUGCAUCCAAAACUACUGAGCUAGAGUACGGUAGAGGUGUGGAAUUUCCUGUGUAGCGGUGAAAUGCGUAGAUAUAGGAAGGAACACCAGUGGCGAAGGCGACCACCUGGACUGAUACUGACACUGAGGUGCGAAAGCGUGGGAGCAAACAGGAUUAGAUACCCCGUGGUAGACUGUCA